GCGGUUAUACAUGUUGUCCAAUUCAAAAAUUUUAAACAAAAUAAACUAAGUUAUUUUGUCCAAUAACAAAGUUAAUAAAUUUAAUUUUAGAAAUUAUUGGUUAAAUUGGAUUAGUACCCAAGUAAAUGAAUUAAUUAAUUAAGGUAACACCUAAACUAAAUGGCCGUAUUAUUUUCAAAGCAGAGAAACUUGAAAUUUAGAAAAUCCACUUUAUUAUUAAUCUUAUAAAGGUUUAAGUAUGGCUGUCUAAAAAUAAAUUAUUAUUUAGAUUCAUAGUCAAGCAACAUUUAACUUAUGAGAAGAUUUUGAGUUGCAAUAAUCAAUUUAUUACAAGUUAUAAAAAUUAGGAUUUGCAAGUAAAAUAAUUUUGAAACAAGUUUAAGUACA
rnacentral:rRNA from 1 species